UACGAAGGUGGCAAGCGUUAUUCGGAUUUACUGGGCGUACAGGGAGCGUAGGCGGUUCGGUAAGCCCUCUGUGAAAUCUUCAGGCUUAACCUGGAAAAGUCGGGGGGGACUGCUGGGCUAGAGGACGGGAGAGGAGCGCGGAAUUCCCGGUGUAGCGGUGAAAUGCGUAGAUAUCUGGAGGAACACCGGUGGCGAAGGCGGCAUCCUGGACCGAUAUUGACGCUGAGGCGCGAAAGCGUGGGGAGCAAACAGG
rnacentral:rRNA from 1 species